GUGCCAGCCGCCGCGGUAAUACAGAGGGGGCUAGCGUUGUUCGGAAUCACUGGGUGUAAAGGGUGCGUAGGCGGUCAGUUAAGUCUGAUGUGAAAGCCCUCGGCUCAACUGGGGAAUGGCAUUGGAAACUAGCUGGCUGGAGUACCGGAGAGGGAAGCGGAAUUCCUGGUGUAGCGGUGAAAUGCGUAGAUACCAGGAGGAACACCGGUGGCGAAGGCGGCUUCCUGGCCGAGUACUGACGCUGAGGCACGAAAGCGUGGGGAGCGAACGGGAUUAGAUACCCUGGUAGCCC
rnacentral:rRNA from 1 species